AGCGUACAUGGGGUUUUUUGUAAUGCUGUAUAAUCUAGUUAGAGGGCCACAGGUUUGUCAGCUUUUCAGCUGUUCGUGUCCCCCUCUUCAAAUAAA